UACGAAGGGGGCUAGCGUUGCUCGGAAUCACUGGGCGUAAAGGGUGCGUAGGCGGGUCUUUAAGUCAGGGGUGAAAUCCUGGAGCUCAACUCCAGAACUGCCUUUGAUACUGGCGAUCUCGAGUCCGGGAGAGGUGAGUGGAACUGCGAGUGUAGAGGUGAAAUUCGUAGAUAUUCGCAAGAACACCAGUGGCGAAGGCGGCUCACUGGCCCGAUACUGACGCUGAUGUGCGAAAGCCAGGG
rnacentral:rRNA from 1 species